AACGAACGCUGGCGGCAUGCCUAACACAUGCAAGUCGAACGAGACCUUCGGGUCUAGUGGCGCACGGGUGCGUAACGCGUGGGAACCUGCCCUUAGGUUCGGAAUAACUCCCCGAAAGGGGUGCUAAUACCGGAUAAUGUCUUCGGACCAAAGAUUUAUCGCCUUUGGAUGGGCCCGCGUUGGAUUAGCUAGUUGGUAGGGUAAAAGCCUACCAAGGCGACGAUCCAUAGCUGGUCUGAGAGGAUGAUCAGCCACACUGGGACUGAGACACGGCCCAGAAUCCUACGGGAGGCAGCAGUGGGGAAUAGUGGAAAAUGGGCGAAAGCCUGAUCCAGCAAUGCCGCGUGAGUGAUGAAGGCCUUAGGGUUGUAAAGCUCUUUUAACCGGGAUGAUAAUGACAGUACCAGGAGAAUAAGCUCCGGCUAACUCCGUG
rnacentral:rRNA from 1 species